rnacentral:rRNA from 1 species
UACGGGGGGGGCACGCGUUGUUCGGAAUUACUGGGCGUAAAGGGCUCGUAGGCGGCCGCUUAAGUCAGACGUGAAAUCCCCAGGCUUAACCUGGGAACUGCGUCGGAUACUGGAUGGCUUGAAUUCGGGAGAGGGAUGCAGAAUUCCAGGUGUAGCGGUGAAAUGCGUAGAUAUCUGGAGGAAUACCGGUGGCGAAGGCGGCAUCCUGGACCGACAUUGACGCUGAGGAGCGAAAGCUAGGGGAGCAAACGGG